UUGAUCUCUUGCCACGUGAUCAUAGACUUCCCCUCUCCGCCAUCGUGAUACCAGUUUAGAAUAACCCGAAGCUCGACACCCGACAUCCUUACCAUUCGUGAAUUUAAUCUCGGGUAGUUCGCGUCAUUAUUGCAUUGUCCUCGUGAGCCCCAUAGAAAGCGCCGUAAGCUUCAUCAUGGAAGUUGCCAAAGUGAACGAUUCAAGCAGCAGCCUCGUCGAGCAAUCAAUGAAUGUAACGUCAGCAACGAAAUCCGUUUCGUCGGUGAAAUCCGUACAGAGCAUCCAGACGAAGUCAAUCGUAGAGUCAUCGACCUCGGUUAAAUCCGUCUCUUCUUCAUCCAACAGAUCACAUCAAUCGAUGGAGUACGAGGAAUCGAUCGAAUAUAGCGAUUAGUGUGAUUAAAGUACUGUAAAUCCUCUCAAUAAAAAAGACGUCACGCGGAGAAAAACUAGAAACGCGAUAAGAUUCGGUUCGAUUUGAUUCAUCUUCGGAUGCUAUUUGAUUCGAUCACGCUAGUCCUUCUGCAAGAAAAAUAUUCGCGUCAUAUCAAAAACGAUAAAUAUUCCUGGAAAUCACAUAAGCUUCGAAAGAAAAUUAACGACGGAAUUCUAUAAUCUCUUCUCCAAUUCCUACCACGAGGAUCCAUAAUCGGACGGAAAUAGGAGAGUCGAAUUGACGGGUCAAGGCGUUCACUUGUCAGGGUUGUGCACCAAAAUAACGAGUCAGUUGCAUGUAUAGUCUCGCUAUGCGACGAAACGAGCGAGAAGAAAUACCACGAGUCAGAGGAGACGAAUGGAGAGAGGAAGAAAUUGAAAAUGUGCCCGCGAAGGAACGCUCGGAAGCCUCUGGCCCUCAUCCAAUCGAUGUGGUUCGCCGCCAAAUAGCAACUCAACUUUUCCUUCUUCCUUUUGAGUUUUCUUUUUUCCUAAUCGACACAUCGCUGUCAAUCCUUCGAGUAGAUUGCUUGACGUGAUUACUCAUUUUGUAUAAUUAAAUUUUUAAGACAUUA